GGGGCUGUGGCUCAGUGGAAGAGCUUCCGCUUUGCAUACAGAAGGUUCAGUCCCCAGCAGCUCCA
rnacentral:tRNA from 1 species